CACGUAGGGUGCGAGCGUUGUCCGGAAUUAUUGGGCGUAAAGAGCUCGUAGGCGGUGUGUCACGUCGGCCGUGAAAACCUGCAGCUUAACUGUGGGCGUGCGGUCGAUACGGGCAUCACUGGAGUUCGGCAGGGGAGACUGGAAUUCCUGGUGUAGCGGUGAAAUGCGCGGAUAUCAGGAGGAACACCGGUGGCGAAGGCGGGUCUCUGGGCCGAUACUGACGCUGAGGAGCGAAAGCGUGGGGAGCAAACAGG
rnacentral:rRNA from 1 species